GUUUUGUGUGCCUCUACUGAGUGAUGUGAGAAGACCUAGCAAGCUCAGAACUCCAAACAUGAUAAGUGCAAGAUCAUCUCCCACAGAGAGGAGGAGCAAGCAGCUUAGCAGAAAAUGCAUGUGUAGUGGACUUCCCAUCAGCUGGAUGGUAAGUAGCAGGCAGCUAGAUGAGGCCACCUGUGGGCUUAGUCUCCUCUUGGACCCGGCUUUGGCCUCUGAAUACAUUUAUUAUUGGGCUGCAUCUGCACAAAACAUUUGCAGGAAGCCGCGCAUGGUGACACACGCCUUUAAUCCCAGAACUCGGGAGUCAGAGGCAGGCAGAUUUCUGACUUCCAGACCAGCCUGGUCUACAAGGUUACAGUUGGGAAGAACAUACAAUUGAAGACCAUUUCCAAACUUCUAGAAGUCAUGGAAAGUAAUUUUCCUCUGCAAGCUGAGGAGAAAAUGCCUAUGAAGAAAGUUUAACGUGUGCUACAAGUAGUAAAGAAAACCAAUAGGGCAUGAAAGAAGUUCUUCUGCAGAGCAACACUCUGAGUUUAUUCAAUGUGGUAAAGCCUUUGCAUAUCAGAGUCAUAGUCAAAGGCAUGAAAGAAUACACAAUGGAGAGAAACACUAUGACUGUAACCAAUGUGGUAAAGACUUUGGAACAAGGAGUGUCCUCUAAAGACUUAAACGAACACAUACAGGAGAGAAACCCUAUGAAUGUAACCACUGUGGUAAAGCCUUUGCAAAAAGGAGUGACCUCCAAAUUCAUAAACGAAUACAUACAGGAGAGAAACCCUAUGAAUGUAACCAAUGUUGUAAAGCCUUUGCAUAUCAGAGUCAUAGUCAAAGGCAUGAAAGAAUACACAAUGGAGAGAAACACUAUGACUGUAACCAAUGUGGUAAAGACUUUGGAACAAGGAGUGUCCUCUAAAGACUUAAACGAACACAUACAGGAGAGAAACCCUAUGAAUGUAACCACUGUGGUAAAGCCUUUGCAAAAAGGAGUGACCUCCAAAUUCAUAAACGAAUACAUACAGGAGAGAAACCCUAUGAAUGUAACCAAUGUUGUAAAGCCUUUACACGAAGCAGUCAUCUCGGAAUCCAUAAGCGAACACAUACAGGAGAGAAACCCUAUGAAUGUAAGCAAUGUGGUAAAGCCUUUGCACAUAGCUGUACUCUCCAAAUCCAUAAGCGAACACAUACAGGAGAGAAACCCUAUGAAUGUAAACAAUGUGAUAAAGCUUUUGUAAAAAGGGGAGAACUCCAAAUACACAAGCGAACACAUACAGGAGAGAAACCCUAUGAAUGUAAACAAUGUGGUAAAGCCUUUGCACAUAGCAGUACUCUCCAAAUACAUAAGCGAACACACACAGGAGAGAAACCCUGUGAAUGUAAACAAUGUGGUAAAGCCUUUGCACAUAGCAGUACUCUCCAAAUACAUAAGCGAACACAUACAGGAGAGAAACCCUAAGAAUCUAAACAAUGUGGUAAAGCUUUUAAAAGAAGUGGUGACCUUCUAAUACAUAAGCGAAGACAUACAUGAGAGAAACCCUGUGAAUGUAAGCAAUGUGGUAAAGUUUUUAUAAGAAGUGUUGACCUUCAAAUACAUAAGCGAAGACAUACAGGAGAUAAACCCUAUGAAUGUAAACAAUGUGGUAAAGCUUUGCAGAAAGCAGUACUCUCCAGAUAUAUAAGCGAACAUGUACAGGAGAGA